AGCGAACGCUGGCGGCAGGCCUAACACGUGCAAGUCGAACGGAUCCUUCGGGAUUAGUGGCGGACGGGUGAGUAACACGUGGGAACGUGCCCUUUGGUUCGGAACAACUCAGGGAAACUUGAGCUAAUACCGGAUGUGCCCUUCGGGGGAAAGAUUUAUCGCCAUUGGAGCGGCCCGCGUCUGAUUAGCUAGUUGGUGAGGUAAAGGCUGACCAAGGCGACGAUCAGUAGCUGGUCUGAGAGGAUGAUCAGCCACAUUGGGACUGAGACACGGCCCAAACUCCUACGGGAGGCAGCAGUGGGGAAUCUUGCGCAAUGGGCGAAAGCCUGACGCAGCCAUGCCGCGUGAAUGAUGAAGGUCUUAGGAUUGUAAAAUUCUUUCACCGGGGACGAUAAUGACGGUACCCGGAGAAGAAGCCCCGGCUAACUUCGUGCCAGCCGCCGCGGUAAUAC
rnacentral:rRNA from 1 species